rnacentral:antisense_RNA from 1 species
CUCGGCGCCCGGGGCCGGCUGCGGGAAACGCUCGCACAGACAGAGACACGCGCGCACCCGGGGAUGCACCCGGGGCCGCACACGCCUCCCCAGGCGAUGGGGUCCAGGCGGCCCCGCCCGAAGGCUUCCGUCCCGCCCGCCCAUCCAGCCGCUCCCCGGCACCUGUCCCCGCCGCUCCGGACCCGCGGCCGUCCCCCGCGCACGCACACCGGGGACGGGACCGGGCGCCGCGACUCCCCACGCCCCGCAGGCGACGCCACCUUCGGCCGCAGCAGCCCGGGGUCCGAGGCAUCCCCCUUGGAGCUGGCGCGGGACCCAGCAGCCGUGGGUCGGGCACCUGGGGCUCCGGGAGGCUCGCGGAGGGGUCGCCACUCACCAGCUGAAAAGCGCAGAGGACGAUGAGCGCGCAGCGGCCGGAGCAGGAGCCCAUGGUGCCGCCUGUACAGGAGGCCUCCGGGUGCCCCGCGCUCGGCUCCCGCCCCCGCUCCCCAAGCGCUGCAGCCUCGACCCCGCCCCCUCCGCAUCCCGUUCCCCCCUCCUCCCCGUAACCCCCGGCCCAGCCCCACCCCCGGGUAACAGCUGCGCUGCGUCUCCCCUCCCACCCCCGCCUGCGGCCCCUGGGGGCUUCGCGCCGGCCGGAGAGGGGGACCCUUCUUAAAGGGGCGAUGGCGCGGCUUCUCGGGUAGCGAGGGGCGGCGCCGCGGCCCCAGGACAGACCUGCAGCUGAGGGGAGCCCGCCCCGGACGCGGCAGGGAUGACCGGCGUCCGCCCCCUCCUCCAGGAUGACCUUCGCGGCACCUGCGCCCGCCCUGCGCCCUCCGGCGUGAGAUCCCCAUCAACCUUCCCCUUAGGGGGUCUGAGCCACCCGCAUCCCCGAGGCGUUUUCUCUGAAAGUCUCAGAGAUUCCUUGGCUUGGAGAAGUCCUGGACCCGGGUCCAGAGCUCAGAGGUCCCCUCCACGGGCGGGCCGAGGACUCAGGAGGAGGGAGUGAGCCGGGCUCGCCCACCUCCCACAGGGAGCUCCUCUGCUGGAAGGCUGAGACCUGAAGGCCAGGUCUGCUCCAACUGCCUGGACCGGCCUCCUGGCUGCGCGGGAGGGGCCUAUGGAGCCUGGGGUUGGGACAGCCUGAGGCCCUGUGCACGGUGGAGGCAGGACCCAGCUGUCCAGGGCAGGUCCUGGGGUCUGGAUGGGGCUGAGCCCGGUAAAGCCUGCGCUUCCGGAAGAAGCUUGUGCUGGAGGCAGGGAAGGGUCCCAGCCAGGCCGUCGAGGAGCAGGAUGUGGACACAGUGAGCCAGAGUGUCAGCCGGUCAGAAAGCCCGUGGGGGCAGAACAGCAGGAGAUCACGGCAGGUGGCCGGGCCAGGGCUGCCACUUGGUCUUUACUCAGUGGCAGGGCAGGCUCCCUGACUGCCACCCACCGCCUGAGGAGCCUGAGAUGGGUUUCCCAUGGCAACCUGAAUUCCUGCCCCACUCGAGAUUUUACAAAUUACUGAGGAUUCUUGCCUUCCUAAUUUUGGUUGUGUGUCCCGCAGUCCUGGGGAUCAGGAGGGGUUAACAGAAGACCAAGGGUCAGGUUUUCUGCACUGCGGGGAGCCACCCCAGAUCUGUAAUCCAGGCUCAUGGGCGGGUGGGGGGGGUAGCUUCCAAGCCCCAAAGGUCAGAGAGCAAAGGUGUGGCCAGUUGUGGAGGGAGGGGGAGCCUCAGGUUGUUUGCAGUGCUGGGGAGAUAAGAAUAUUCAGGAAUUAGAUGGUAGUGAUGCUUGCACAGCUCUGUGAAUAUACUGCAGCCCACUGAGCACUACACUCUAAAGGGGUGACUAUUAUGGUGUGAGGAUUGUAUCCCAAUUUUUAAAAGAUGUGAAAAAAUUAAUGUUUGUUUAUACAAUAUGUAAGACAUUGAUUUUUAAAUACGGCGGUACCAUCCCUGCCCCCCAUAACCCUGGUUCCUCCAGGCACUUGGAGCCAUUGGUGGAAGGACGUGGACUCCUAGAAGAUGAUUCGCAAAGGUGCCACGUAAGCAGAGGAGCCACGUAAGCAGAGGAAGGCCCGGAGCCGACUGCUGAGGUCCUGAGGGAGAGGAAGGGGCACCUGCUCAGCCUUGCCUGUGUGGGUGGAUCCUUCUCUCUCGGUCUCUCACAGGGGAAGCUGCCUGGACAUGCAUGUGCCUUGCAGUUCUGUCCUCCCAGGCUGCCUGCUCUUCCUCUUGAAAGCAAAAGCCUUCACCUGCUGAGGAUGCGACGAUGCCCUAGUGUCCCUUGCAGGAGCCAGUGUCAGAGCCAGGAGCCGUCGUGGGCAUCCCCUGCUCCUAAGUUACGAGUUCUGGUGAAGGGGUCAGAACAGCCCCUUUGAGAGUUCAGCAGAGCAGGUCUGCACAGGGCCCAUGCCGUGCACAGCCCACGCUCCACCUGCCCUGGUGCACACUGACGGCAGCAGCCAGCCGCGGGGACCCCAGGCGCAGUGUCGCCACGUGAACGUUACAGCAGCCUCCAGAGGCGGGUUCCGUCUGCACACCUGGUUCACGGGUGACGCAGUUGUGACUUGGCCCAGGUCAGUUGUUAGGUCCUGGCCAGCUGUGGGUGGUGAGGUUUUCUGGGACACUUCAUCUGCUCUCGUUCUUGUUCAAAUUCCUUCUGCUUAAGAGUGACAGCUUUAAAAGCGGAAUGGCAGCAUGUCUCCAUCCUUACACAGAAUCCCACAUGGGAAGACCCUAGUCAGAGGCCCCCACCCUUGCCCGGAGCUAGACUUUGGGGCAGCAGCAAACUGCAGUGAGCAUGAGUGACACCUGAGGACAGGUGGGCUGUCUUCAGGCUCCCAACAAGUCUGUCGCUUAAGGGGCUGGGGAAUGGGGGCCGGAAUGCCACAGCCUGCCCACCUGGGGGACUCUGGGCAGAGCUGGAGCAGCCAGGCAGGAAAAUAUCAUCCAGUUUCCAGAGAGUAAAAGCUGAUGGUCCUACCGAGGAGUGAAGGACAGUGAUAGACAGUGAUGGAAGGUGAUGGACAGAGGAGGAGAGUGAUGGACAGAGGAGGACAGUGAUAGCAACAGAGAGUGGAGGACAGUGAUGGACAGUGACGGGUAGUGAUGGACAGCAAAGGACAAUAAUGGACAGCAGAAGACAAUGGAGGGCAGUGAUGGACAGAGGAGGACAGUGAUAGCAACAGAGAGUGGAGGACAGUGAUGGACAGUGGAGGACAGUGGAGGACGGUGAUGGAAAGUGAUGGACAGCAGAGGACAGUGAUGGACAGCAACAGACAGUAAUGGACAGCGGAGGACAGUGAUGGAGAACGGAGGACAGUGAUGGACAGCGGAGGACAGUGGUGGACAGCGGAGGACAGUGAUGGAAAGUGAUGUCACUGUCGCAGAGGACAGUGAUGAACAACGGAGGACAGUGAUGGACAGCAACAGACAGUGGAGGACAGUGAUGGACAGCGGAGGACAGUGAUGGACAGUGGAGGACAGUGAUGGACAACGGAGGACCGUGAUGGACAGCAGAGGACAGUGAUGGACAGCAACAGACAGUGGAGGACAGUGAUGGACAGUGGAGGACAGUGAUGGACAGCGGAGGACAGUGGAGGACAGUGAUGGACAGAGGAGGACAGUGAUGGACAGCGGAGGACAGUGAUGGACAGCGGAGGACAGUGAUGGACAGAGGUGGACUAUGAUGGACAGCGGAGGACAGUGAUGGACAGCGGAGGACAGUGAUGGACAGAGGAGGACAGUGAUGGAUAGUGGAGGACAGUGAUGGACAGCGGAGGACAGUGAUGGACAGUGAUGGACAGCGGAGGACAGUGAUGGACAGCGGGGGACGGUGAUGGACAGUGGGGGACAGCGGAGGACAGUGAUGGACAGCGGAGGACAGUGAUGGACAGUGGAGGAUAGCAGAGGACAGUGAUGGACAGAGGAGGACAGUGAUGGACAAAGGAGGACAGAGAAGGACAGCAAUGGAAGGACAGCCCCCCCAGUCAGCACAAACGCAGGCUGAGUUGGGCCCAUGCAUUCCUGGGAGGACUGGCAAGCUGAGAAAGGCCUCCAGGGCAGGGAAACUCAGGAGAGUGACAGCUUGUUCAGACCAGGACCUUGUGCGUCUUCUCCUUUUAUCUUUCUUAGUAAACCCAGUGUAUUCAUUUUUGGGGGCUGCCAUAACAAAUUCCCAUAAACUAGCGGCUUAAAGCCAUGGAAAUUUAUUAUGUCACAGUUCUGGAGGCUAGACAUCUAACAUCCAGGUGUGGGCAGGGUUGCACUGCCUUCGAAGCUCUGGGGAGGGUCCUUCCUGCCCCUCCCAGCUCCCGUGGCUCCCAGCGUCCUUAGCCUGUGGCCAUAUCGCUCUGGUCUUUGCCUCCACCUUUGCAUGACCUCCUCCUCUCCUGUGUGUCACUUGUUAUGAUGCUUGUGAUGCCAUUUAGGGCCCACCUAUGUAAUCCAGCAUGCUCUCAUGUCAAGAUCCUUAAUCACAUCUGCAAAGAACCUUGCCCCAAACUCCUGGCUUCAAGCAGUUCUCCUGCCUUGGCUUCCCAACGUGCUGGGUUUGCAGGUGUGAGCCACUGUGCCAGGCCUAGAUUUGGGGGGCCACCAUUCAGUCGCUGCUCUCCCACACCUGCAGCAGCCCCAGCCUGCCCGCAGGGCAGACCUUCCUUGUGGCAGAAACAACAGGUAAAGGAAAGGAAGAGGAACCCAAGCCUGGGUUCCCGGCAGAGCUGUCCACAGAGGCUGUGCGGGGCUGCAAAGGUCCCUCUGUUGCCAAAACAUCCCUGUCCCCGUGCACCAAGGGCAGCCAGAACUGCCACAGAGUUUCAGAUGAAACUGGCAGAACUUUCAACUGCAACAAACACUUCUGGAGAAGGAGAGGCCAAUCCCCAUGGCUCCACAGAGAGCACAGCCCGACCCCUUCAUCCAGGCCCACAGGCAAUGUUGUCGACUCUGUUCUUCCUUUGAAAGAAAAGCGUGCUGGUUGGUUUCCAGUUUACUGCAGACACACAGAGAGGCCCCUUUCUGGCUCAGAGCCUGGCCCGGGUCUCUCCAGUCCCAGCUUCUCCCUCCCGAAAGGAACGUCCUGCCCAACAAUGCAACAUGUGUGUGCACUCCCAGUGUGGGAAUCAGGCUGCGCUGGACUUCAGGGGCAGCCCAGGAUGCUUGCCUCGGGUGGGGCAUUUUCCCAGAGGUUUCUUGGGAGCUGCCUGGGAGUUGCCGAAGCUUCUUCCCAGCUGGCUUCAGCCCAGGCUUCCUGGGUGAGAUUCUUGUUCCCUGGACCCUCACGGUACGUGUGGUCCUGUUCCCCGCAAUGCCCCACCCCCUUGAACUCUGUUCCCACACUCAGGACCCACCCAGAUGCCAGCUCCCCACAGAGCAGUGCAGCCCCCCACUUCCGGCCCUGACAGCACACACCCUGCCACCACCACCAUUUUGGAAUUGUUCUUCGCCAGAAAUAUCGUUUCCCACCCUGUCUUCUUAUUCUCGGAGGCAGAGACACGUCAGCUUCCUGGGCCGUCUGUCACUGAAUCACCCUGGUUUCCAUUGGCAGUGCCGCCUCUCCCUCACUCGGAUGCUUCUGUGCAGCCAUGCGGGCUGUGUGUGCACAACAUCAAUCGCGUCCUCGGGCUGGCCGUAGAGACAUGGCCUCGGCCUGAGCGUGGCCGUCAGACUCUCCCUGGUGCUAUGAGCCCUCGGCUGAGGGGACAGAGGGGCAGCUAGGAUCAUGGCCGCAGCUCCCAGAGGGGAGCCCCAGCCUCCGGGCCGUCUUCCUGAGCCUGCUCCCCAGGCCGCACCUUUCCUGACUUUCCUCCAGGCUCCUGUUGUGGCAACCACAGAACCAGCCUCAGGGCUUUCCUGUCCUUCCUGUCAGGGGUCCUUUCCCAGAGAUGGGAGCUCUGGGUGGGUGGGCCUGUCCCGGGAGAGUCACGUAGCUUGUUUAAGGAGAAGAUCCCCGUGGCUCUUGUGCACACAUGUGGGGCCUCUCUCCCCAGGGGAUGCUGUGAGCCUGGGAAGGCCCGGGUGGUGUCUCAUAUCCCAGAGAGCAGCUCCCUGUGCACCUCGCACGCACCCUCCUGCGGGUCUGCUGACUUUCUCCUCCACUUCAGCCAAGUCUCCCACGCAGAGCAGGUGGGAACCGAGUGAAGGCCUCACAGGAUUCUGAGUCCCCGGUCUGACACCCACCUGGCUCAGCACCUGCCGCCUCAGCUUCCAGCUUCACGGGUGGCCGCAGGCUUCAGGGUGUGAUGGCAAAUGUGAAGGUGAACGUGGCCGGUCCGGUCAGAGGUCUCUGCAUCCUCCACACCUCUGGCCAGGUGAGACCCAGCCUGUGUCCCUCCCAGCUCUACUGACGGACAGCAGGAAGCUGAGACCCCGAGCCUGUGUGUCCUCGGUUCUUGGUGCUUUGCAAUGCCCCUGGCCCUGGCUGCAGCUGCCCCCUGGCUGGGCCCCGAGCCUGCCUGCCCUGCAACACUCACCCUUCAGGAAGAGGGAGCCUCAGCCGAGAGGAGAGCAAAUAAGUGUAAGGGGAGAGGGAGCUUCCUGAGACACGCAGUGGGCCCAGGGCUCCUGCGGUCUCCUGCCUUGGCCUCUCUGCUUUUGGAGCAGGGCGCUGGGGCUAGGGGAUUGCAGCCACAGCCACUCCACUGCGCUGGUGGGGAGCUCGGAUCACCUGGGUGCAGAGGAAGCUUUGACGGCAAGGGUUGGUGUGGCUCAUCUCGCCCACCCCACAGCCAUCGCCGCCCCACAGACACCUCUGGAUCCUGGCCUGCCGUCCCUCCUCCUGAGCCUACGUUAGGCUCCAUCCUUCCCCAGGCCCCAUGCCACCAGCAAGAACAGCCCAGCCAAUGCAGACUGCACCCCUGGGCCUCGGCCGGGACCGAGCACACUGCCCUGUGCUUGUCCAGUGUGCUCUCCUUGGCCCCUGAGGCAGGUGGCCUGACCCCUGUCUUCAGAGGGGAAAGCUGAGUCUCGGGGAGGCCACACAGCCGAGGAGUGGGGGCAGAAAGAACCCAGCUCUGCGCCAGGCUGUGUCAAGCUGACAUUUAGUGCCUGGCAGCAGCCGCGGCCUCUGCAGGGCUUCCCGGCGCAGGUGUGGGCUCUUCCAGCACAGAGCAUGGGCUGCACCAGCCUCGGGGUGCACCGCGUAUGGGGUAGGGCCGUGGCCGCAGCCGCUGGCUGACACCAGGAGUAAACGUGGACACCAGACCAGCGCAGCCUAGACCCAGCUGGGUGGCAGGUGCUACCAGUGCCUCUCGAGGGGGCAGCAGGGUCAGCUGCAGAUGAGGCUGCCCCAGGACUGGCUGCCAGCCCUCAAAGAGCCCCCUGGGUCCCCCCGGCACAACUCUCUGCAUGAGGCCCCCAGCAGGAGAAGGGCUCACUGCCCUGAGCCCGACACAGUACGAGACGGAGGCCUCACUGAGUCCAGGCCCCUCACUGGCCCUCCCCUGGAUCCAGGCCCCAAGCCAGCCCCUCCCCUGGAUCUCCCCAGACCCUCUCUGUGGGAGCCUAGGGGCUGGAGCCGCUCGACCGCAUUUUGGUAGCUCUCAUUUGGGACCUCAUCUUUAAUCUCAGCAACUCAGGGAUCAAAGAGAAAAGGCCGAGGCAGGCGAGGCUGGGGUUUCUUGCUCAAGCAUUCGGAUCAUUAAACAAAUGAAAAAAAUCAAAGAGAA